AUAUCCGUUUCGGCACUACUCCACUCAUAAUAGGCCGCGGCGGGGAACGAAGGAGGAUGCGUCCGCUGUUGCUGGCGGUGCGGCAGCGUGGAGACCUGCCGUAAGGCCGCGCGGGUAAUGCCGGCGGCGAGCUUCUUUUUGCCGGAGGGCGAAGGAGCGCAGCAAAAAACAUAUGGCA
ncrna:unclassified sequences malK-I RNA